ACAACCCUUAAAGGCACCGUAGUCCUAUUCACCUUUGCAUCUUAUCAUCCUACCUGGGUGUGUAUUUUAUCUCACCUAGCUGUAAAGACUUAGGUUGGUCUACACAGAAUGUGUUUCUCCCUUCUAAAGGACUUGAAAUGUACCUGGCUAUAAAGCUGAACUGAUCUGAGGAACCCUCAGCUUAUACUUCCAGUUCCUGGAAAAUCAUUUGUCUGCCUGCAUGCAAGUCAGAUUCAUGAGAUUUCACAGCUGCACAAGCCCAUUGAUGUUUCAGUGGCAAGGAAAUCACUACAUUAUUUCAGAACUCAGCUGUUUGAAACAUGCUGAAUGCAAAUCCAUUGGAAUGAAAAAGAAUGGAAAGAUUAAACUUUUCAAGUUAAUUGCCUGCCAGACAUUUUUUCCUUGAUGUUGUCUUUUGAAAUCUCUCUAGGCCUCUCUGGAAAUCAAAGACUAUGAAGCAAAUGGUAGAUAUGAUCAGACUUCUUUUUUAAAAAGGCAUCUCUGUGGAAAGUGGGGUGGAGUUAGUACUAAAUGGACCAGCUGGUAUUGUUAAGGCUUUGGCCACAGAGAUCUAUCAUUCAAAUUGCAUUGAAGGGAUGGGAAUUUGAAGCACUUCUAUUCAAAAGGAAUAAUGCAAGAUAAUGCAGUCCAUGUGUUAA